rnacentral:rRNA from 1 species
GUGGGGAAUCUUGCGCAAUGGGCGAAAGCCUGACGCAGCCAUGCCGCGUGGAUGAUGAAGGUCUUAGGAUUGUAAAAUCCUUUCACCGGUGAAGAUAAUGACUGUAGCCGGAGAAGAAGCUCCGGCUAACUUCGUGCCAGCAGCCGCGGUAAUACGAAGGGGGCUAGCGUUGCUCGGAAUUACUGGGCGUAAAGGGCGCGUAGGCGGACAGCUUAGUCAGAGGUGAAAGCCCAGGGCUCAACCUUGGAAUUGCCUUUGAUACUGGCUGUCUUGAGUUUGGGAGAGGUGAGUGGAACUCCGAGUGUAGAGGUGAAAUUCGUAGAUAGUCGGAAGAACACCAGUGGCGAAGGCGACUCACUGGCCCAAUACUGACGCUGAGGCGCGAAAGCGUGGGGAGCAAACAGGAUUAGAUACCCGGGUAGUCC